rnacentral:tRNA from 1 species
UAGACUGAAGCCCGCUGGUUUGGGUGUUUAGUUGUUAACUAAAUUUUCGGGAUCGAGGCCCGUCUGUCUAGG